rnacentral:misc_RNA from 1 species
AACGCACAUUGCGCCCUUUGGUAUUCCUUAGGGCAUGCCUGUUCGAGCGUCAUCUAAACCCUCAAGCACCGCUUGAUGUUGGGCGCCUGUCCCGCCGCGCGCGCGGACUCGCCUCGAAGAGAUUGGCGGCCUGUGUGUUGGCCACGAGCGCAGCAGACCACGCGGCUCGUGCCCUCCCGCGCAGGCGCUCCAGGAAGCGACCCCCCCAAUUUUGACCUCGGAUCAGGUAGGGAUACCCGCUGAACUUAA